rnacentral:rRNA from 1 species
AAGAGAGCUUGAUUGCAAGACAUACAGGUCGAGCAAGGAUGAAAAUCGGACUUAGUGAUCCGGUGGUUCUGCGUGGAAGGGCCAUCGCUCAACGGAUAAAAGCUACCCUGGGGAUACCAGGCUGAUCUCCCCCACGAGUCCACAUCGACGGGGAGGUUUGGCACGUCGAUGUCGGCUCAUCACAUCCUGGGGCUGUAUUAGGUCCCAAGGGUUGGGCUGUUCGCCCAUUAAAGUGGUACGCGAGCUGGGUUCAGAACGUCGUGAGACAGUUCGGUCCCUAUCCGGCGCAGGCGUAGGAAAUUUGAGCAGACCUGUCCUUAGUACGAGAGGACCGGGAUGGACGUACCUCUGGUGUACCAGUUGUCCUGCCAAGGGCAUGGCUGGGUAGCUAUGUACGGAAUGGAUAAGCGCUGAAAGCAUCUAAGCGCGAAG